GCAGUGGGCCAGUAUGGGGCAUUUCAGAGAGGAGGAGGGAAGGCCUCGUCUCCACGCCGUCAAAAUGUGAAAGGCCUGCUGUGAGAGGCUGUGUGGAGCUCGCAGCCGAGCGAUCUGGACCGAAGAGCGACGGAGACGGAGAGACAGAACCAAAAGGGCCGCAUCAUCCUCGCACAGGUUAUGUUCCCGCUGAGCCUGACCAGCAGCUGUUCUCCCUCCCUCAUGGAAAGUUCAGAUGAGGAUUCUGGAGGACCACAGUAACCCUGAUCCUGCAGUUCACACAUAGCCCAGCUUGCAUCUCUGCUGGACAGGGUCUCCACAACCACACUGCGGGGGUCCAGAUGCUUAUGAUGCAGCACCACUGUCACUGAAAAGCUCUUUACAGCCUCUUCUAGUUCUUCAACUAACAAAGCCAGGCAGGAGGAUUUUACAGAGGACUGAAGGCGAAGGACUAUUAACCUACGGUUGGAAGAAGUUUUUAAAGGUAGAGCAUAUUUCUGAAAUAUUGUAAAGAAACAUUUACAAUGUACAUGCAUUGGUUUUGGAUACCUUUCAUAGCUUUCUGUUAGCUCAAAACAGACCAAGCUGUUCUGUAAGUUCUUUACACUGACUUUAUCCAGAACCUUCCAGUGGUUCUCCAUCCAGCCU
rnacentral:lncRNA from 1 species